CGGAGGGUGCAAGCGUUAUCCGGAUUCACUGGGUUUAAAGGGUGCGUAGGUGGGUAAGUAAGUCAGUGGUGAAAUCUCCGGGCUUAACCCGGAAACUGCCAUUGAUACUAUUUGUCUUGAAUACUGUGGAGGUCAGCGGAAUAUGUCAUGUAGCGGUGAAAUGCUUAGAUAUGACAUAGAACACCAAUUGCGAAGGCAGCUGGCUACACAAAUAUUGACACUGAGGCACGAAAGCGUGGGGAUCAAACAGGAUUAGAUACCCUGGUAGUCCACGCCCUAAACUAUGGAUACUCGACAUUUGCGAUAAACUGCAAGUGUCUGAGCGAAAGCAUUAAGUAUCCCGCCUGGGAAGUACGAUCGCAAGAUUG
rnacentral:rRNA from 1 species